GCCGAGUGCAGUGGCGCACACCUGUAAUCCCAGCAGCUCAGGAGGCUGAGGCAGGAGAAUUGUGAGUUCAAAGUCACACUAAGCAACUCAGUGAGACCCUGUCUCUA
rnacentral:sRNA from 1 species